UCCAAUAGCAAAACCCAGUCCUAGAUUGCAGUUGAGAUUACAUUAAAAGUACCGGUGAUGUAGCCUCUGUAAAAUGGUUCCAUUAGGUUUAGAAACAUUAUAUUUGGGAGCAUUAUAACGGAUUAAUCACUGUCUUUUUAGGUAUUGUCAACAGUGAGUAUAAUCUUGCUUUUUGACAACUUUUGUCAUAGCUCAGACAUAAUUCAUUUUACAGUAGGCCUAUAUCAGUGUGAAUGCUAUGUUUAACAACAUAUGUCCAUAUUAAAGGCAUGUACAUUAAUGUGGACUGCAAAUAUGGGAUUGGCCUACAUUUUGUUAAUUUGUUUCUGUAGACUAUUUCACAAAUGAGACUAUAAAUGACUAACAUUCAAAAUGGAAUUGAUAACAACACAAUACAUAAAAGACUGUAAAUACACAACUUGAAGUAACCAGGGUUCAACACACCUAUAACUCGUUUAUUCAUCAAAAACACAGCCCUCUGCACCAGCGCCAGUUACUGCAGCCAUAAUUCCUGCUGUUAAUAUAGUUCAAAUAUUUCUAACACACCCUUAGACCAGUGGAGGCAGCUAAGGGGAGAAUGGCUCAUAAUAAUGGCUGGAAUGGAGUAAAUGGAAUGCGAUCAAAACAUGAUUUUCAUGUGUUUGAUACCAUUCCAUUCACUCCAUUUCUGUCAGUAUUAUGAACUGUCAUCCACUCAGCAGCCUCCACUGGUCUAGAAAUAUAAUGCUACCGCCAGUGCUAAGAUUUACCAUUGCGUUAGGUUUGUUAAAAUGCAGCCCUCAAUGACUUAUUACAUUUGGAAUAAUUCUAUAGCUACCAGUGGUGUAAAGUACUUAAGUAAAAAUACUUGAAGGUACUACUUAAGUACUUUUUUCUUUACUUUACUAUUUAUAUUUCUUACAAUUUUUACUUUUAGUUCACUGGGUGACCUAAAGAAAAGGAUGUACAUUUUACUCCAUACAUUUCCCCUGACACCCAAAAGUACUCAUUUUGAAUGAUUAGCAGGACAGGAAAAUGGUCUAAUUCACACAUUCACACAAUAGAACAUCUAUGGUCGUCCCUACUGUCUCUGAUCUGGAGGACUCACUAAACAUAUGCUUAGUUUAUAAAUGAUGUCUCUAGCUACGGAAUUUGAAAUGAUUUAUACUAUAUUUACAACCAAAUACUUUUAGACUUCUACUCAAGUAGGAUUUUACAGGGUGACUUUCACAAUUAAUUGAGUAAUUUUCUGUUAAGGUAUCUUUACUUUUACUCAAGUAUGACAAUUGGGUUCCUUUUCCACCACUGAUAGCUACUUACCAUAAUGAUUUACAGCAAACCCAUGGCCCUAUAUACACUACAAUUUAUCCAUAGGGUUUCAAUCCUUUUCCUCAAAGGCAAAGAUCAAACAUAUAUAAAUGAAUCUUCUAACUGUGCCAUCUGCUCUCCUCCCAGGGACCAAAGCCAAAUAAUACCCGGGUACAAAAGUCUGCUUCCCUGUAUCUCCCAUAAUCUUUCUCUCUCCCAGCUCUGCAGUAGCUGGAGGUUGAAGGUUAUGUAUCCUUCCUCUUCUGUGGUCAUCUCUCGCCGCCUAGAUAAAUAUUCCCCCCCCUUCAGCCAUUAGACCCCUGCCAGCUCAAAUCCAUGCCCUGCAGAGACCAAUGUGCCUUGAUAAAUUUGCCCUAUUAUGCUGAUAAAUUAGUGGCUUGUCUAAGCUUUCUGCAGUGCUCUGUUGCUGGUGGCAGGGUGCCUGUCAUUACCCCAACUAAAUGCUUUUUUACAUAAAAAAAACACAUAAAAUAGCAAGGUAAGAUUAGAAACAAAAUAGAGUCAGUCACAUGCUGACAUGGCGUUUGGACAUGUUGAUAUAAAUUGGGGGGAAAAAAUGUAAAUACACUUGAAAGACUAACGUUACCAAACAGGGUUUCCUUCUGCCUGCUUUCUGUUCAUUUAAUGCCCACUGCCACUCAUGUGUUUUGAUUUCAUUAGGGGCUAGAUUGAAUCAGAUCUGCCUUAACCCAUGAUAACCAGCAACUGCAUAGCAUAAAAUAGUUUUAGUUUAGGCUAUGUUGGAGGUGUAACUGAGCUGGAGCUGUCAACCCGGUGAGCGGCUGCUCUUGUGGUCAUUGUCACGAAGCCACACCCGUCUCACCAACAUUAGAAGUUUAGAAUGAGAAUGUGUUGGCUAUAUAUAAAUAAUGACUCUCAAAUGUAAUAUAAUUAAACAAAAUAAUAAGGAUUUCUAUCAGCCUAAUCAAGGUGUAGAUUGCAUCUCACAUUCCAGUGUUCGAUUUCUACUAAUGCAACUCUGUGCAUCCAAUGGCAAUGACCCCAAUAGGUAUAAUGUAGGGAGCCGCUCCAACACAGUUACAUCUCUAAACAAAGCUUAACAGAAACAAUUAUAUGCCACGCAGUUGUUGGUUAUCACGGGUAAUGGCAGAUCUGAUCGAAUCUAGGCGUUAUAAUAUGCCAUGUUUUGCUGUAUGUAAAAUGUGAAUUCCUUGGUGAGUGACUUGUUGUCAACAAAAAUAAUUGCUAUUGACUUUGUGGUUGUUAGUAUUAAAUCUAUUUAUAUUAUUCAGUUCUACACAGUCCAUGACAUAUUAUUGGUUUACAUGAGAUAUUUUUCUGCCAUCUCACCAUAUUCUCCCUUAACACCAUCAUGGAUGUUUUCUCUUACCUCCUGAGUCUGUAAUCCAUUAUGUACUGCAGUAAUAUUUCAUACUGGUAAGCAUACCGUAAUCCUGUAUUAUUCACCACUGAGAAUCCUCUAAGGCAAUUACGAAAAAACAUUUGCAUAUGGUAAACAUCCGGAGAGAAGCGAGGGAGGAAAAAGCGAGACAAUAAAAAAAACACUGAACACUCAGUAAUAUUAAAUGUUGACCUGGACGUAAACGGCGCUGGUGGCCAAACUCCUAUGUAUUAGUUUGUGCGUGUGUGAACAUAGGGUCAGUGAGAGGACAUGGGACGGUGGAGGAAUCUGCCAAAAGGAACAGGGAGAUGAGCUGUAAUGAGAUGGUGGCCCUCAUCAGGUCCUCUGAGAACAAUGACAUGUAAGAUAAAAUCCAUUACUUGACCGGAUGUUACCAUGCUGCAAUAGAAUAAUUGACUGCAUUGCCAGCUUUGUAAUACUUGGACAACAUAAUAAAUCACAAUGUAUUCAAGAGAGCAUCCCCAUCCACUCAACUCCCCGCCCCAGCACUUUUCUCUUUCUCCUCCUCUUGUUGUUUGCCUCUCAGUGAAACCAUGGGCAGCAUCACACGGCAGUAAAGGUCAGGAGAAAAUCACUGUCGGAAUACAGAGGAGGCAUCUGACCAAUCAGCCCCAAGCUGUGUGCCAUUUGCUCCAGAUUAAAACUAGGGAGCUGUGUGCAGUCAGGUAAGAGAGGCUGACCUGGCGGACAGCUGCACAAUACCCUUUUAUGUUUUGGGGUUUACAAAGUAUGUGCAGUGCUAGGAAUUAACUGACUUCUUUCUUUUGGAGGCCAUUUCCAGAGCAUGGUUUCAUUAUGAUCAGGCAUGCAUCUCAAAACAUAACUGGAAAUAAAUCAGUUUGUAUCAAAAGCAUUUAGAUUAGUUUGUGUGGAUGUUUGAAGGCCAAACAGACUGGUGCAUCACUUGAUUAAUAUCUAUGGUGACUUGAAAAGAUUUGUACUGUAAGUAGACCUACAUACACUGAGUAUCUAAACAUUAAGAACACCUGCUCUUUCCAUGACAGACUGACCAGGUGAAUCCAGGUGAGUGCUAUGAUCCCUUAUUGAUGUCACCUAUUAAAUCCACUUCAAUCAGUGUAGAUGAAGGGGAGGAGACAGGUUAAAGAAGGAUUUUUAAGCCUUGAGACAAUUGAGACAUGGAUUGUGUAUGUGUGCCGUUCAGAAGGUGAAUGGGCAAGACAAAAUAUUUAUGUGCCUUUGAAUGGGGUAUGGUAGUACUGUUGGUGCCAUGAGCACCAUUGUUUUGUCAAGAGCACCGGUUUGUGUUUUUUUAAUGCUCCACGGUUUCCUGUGUGUAUCUAUAAUGGUCCACUGCCCUAAGGAUAUCCAGCGAACUUGACACAACUGUGGGAAGCAUUGGAGUCAACAUGGGCCAGCAUCCCUGUGGAAUGCUUUCGAACCUUGUAGAGUCUGUUGUAGGCUGUUAUAAGGAACCAUGAGUUGUUUUAAAGUGUUGCCAAUGUAUGACGAACACCUGUUUACAUGGUUAUGUCUUCAUUCUGACGAUAAUGUUUGAACUGCUUUUGCGUGGCAAAAAAUAAAUCGCCACUUCUAUGAAUGAUGUAAUUGCUCCAUACUUAACAUAUCCUCUGAGGGUAUAUAAUAAUUGGAUUGAGAGGCAAAAGAUGUCAUGCCUCUUGCCAUGAAAGCAACUGCAAGCAGGACUGUAAACAGUGCUGUCGUAUUCUUCCAACAUGCUGAUAUGUUGACGUGUGUACGUAUAUGAACUGACAGUACUAUAUUGCCCGAAGGGAUUACAGAAAUGAGAGACUGUUAUAUGAUUUUAUGAAUAAUGACUAAAUAAUGUAUACAUUUGAUGCAGGAUUGUAACUAACAUAAUUCUACCCUGUCUAACAAAUAAUGUUUCUACAUAGGCAAAGAGGAAGUGUUAACAGACAAAUUGUGACAGACAACUUGUGACCACUUUGAAACCGAUAACAGGAAGAAAGUCUCCACACCCAAGGUGGGGAGGAACCGUUAAGCUUGCAGUAGAUUAUGCAACUUGUGGUAGCAUAUGUGUGUGUGUUGGAAUGGACUUUUGAAGCAGCUUUGUCCUUGUCGGAGAGGAGGAGGGACAUUCAGGACGCUAUGACGCUAUGUGUGAUAUAUAAACUAAUGUACAUGUGAUUAUGAUCCGAGCUCUCGGGAAUAAACGUUAUUGAUUAAUUGUGA